UAUUAACAAAAUUGGAGCUACCGAUGGAAGUGUUGUUUAUCAAAAUGAAAUUGUAACUAGCACAAAAGUAUAAGAUGUAGAAAAUGCUUAAAAUUUGCCGCAUCUUAUUUAUAUUUCCUUUCUCUCUUUUUUCCCUGGAUAUUCACUUUUAUGCACCUUUAACAAAUUUCAGAAAAGUCCCAUUUAUUUAACUAAUUAAGUUUGCAAUUAAUGAAAUUCUUAAUUUAAAUUAUUAAAAUAUAUAUCACCUUACUAAGCAUAUUUAUUUUUUUCUUUUACAAUCACUCAUGAGAUUUUCUAUUGGUAAAUAUUGGUAAAAUAUUCUCACGAUUUAGAGCCAGUACAUAUUCGACGGAUUAUGAUUGUUGUCUGUCGAUAAUGUAAUAUUUGCUAUUAGCCGGUGGGAAUAUAUUGACAUUUUGAAACAGAUCUUCGAUCAAAAAUUUUAUUGGAACUUCAUAUGUUGGUAGAAUAUCUCCAAAAAUCCAAAAAUUUGUAUAGCGAUCACCCUUUACCGCUACGUCCAAUCACACAACCACCACCCCCACCGCAACUCUCACCAUUAGCCAUAUUAUCGAACUUUCAUUACCUCUGAUCGCCACUACACUGAAGUACGAGAAUGAGGUGAAUUGUAGCUAAUUAAAAUUCUAGUUGACUAAAUAUGAGUAUAGUCGACUAGGUUUUGCACAAUGAACAAUUUCUCUUAGCGAAUCCAGUGCCCCAAUCAAGAUUAAUCUGCAACAAUGAAAGAAGAGGAGAGGUUUCUUCUCGCCAUGGUGAAGGAAUUUGUUUAGAGGAGAUGAAGAAUGAUAGGAUGAGGAGGGUUUUUAUCUAGGUAUUUGAAAGGCUGAAGGGUUGCAUUAGUUAAGGGAAAGGACAAAUUCAGCAGGAAGUGGCACUUCCGAGGAGAUGUUUUG
rnacentral:lncRNA from 1 species